CCUACGGGGGGCAGCAGUGAGGAAUAUUGGUCAAUGGGCGAGAGCCUGAACCAGCCAAGUCGCGUGAAGGAAGAAGGAUCUAUGGUUCGUAAACUUCUUUUGCAGGGGAAUAAAGUGCAGGACGUGUCCUGUUUUGUAUGUACCCUGAGAAUAAGGAUCGGCUAACUCCGUGCCAGCAGCCGCGGUAAUACGGAGGAUCCGAGCGUUAUCCGGAUUUAUUGGGUUUAAAGGGUGCGUAGGUGGUUUGAUAAGUCAGCGGUGAAAGUUUGCAGCUUAACUGUAAAAAUGCCGUUGAAACUGUCGGACUUGAGUGUAAAUGAGGUAGGCGGAAUGCGUGGUGUAGCGGUGAAAUGCAUAGAUAUCACGCAGAACUCCGAUUGCGAAGGCAGCUUACUAAGCUACAACUGACACUGAAGCACGAAAGCGUGGGGAUCAAACAGGA
rnacentral:rRNA from 1 species